UACGGAGGGUGCAAGUGUUAUCCGGAAUCACUGGGCGUAAAGCGUCUGUAGGUGGUUUAGUAAGUCAACUGUUAAAUCUUGAGGCCCAACCUCAAAAUCGCAGUCGAAACUAUUAGACUAGAGUAUAGUAGGGGUAAAGGGAAUUUCCAGUGGAGCGGUGAAAUGCGUAGAUAUUGGAAAGAACACCGAUGGCGAAGGCACUUUACUGGGCUAUUACUGACACUCAGAGACGAAAGCUAGGGUAGCAAAUGGG
rnacentral:rRNA from 1 species